AGAACGAACGCUGGCGACAGGCUUAACACAUGCAAGUCGAGCGCCGUGGCAACACGGAGCGGCAGACGGGUGCGUAACGCGUGGGAACAUACCCCUUGGUUCGGAAUAACUCAGGGAAACUUGAGCUAAUACCGGAUAAGUGCGAGAGCAGAAAGAUUUAUCGCCGAAGGAUUGGCCCGCGUCUGAUUAGCUAGUUGGUGAGGUAAUGGCUCACCAAGGCUACGAUCAGUAGCUGGUCUGAGAGGAUGAUCAGCCACACUGGGACUGAGACACGGCCCAGACUCCUACGGGAGGCAGCAGUGGGGAAUAUUGGACAAUGGGCGAAAGCCUGAUCCAGCCAUGCCGCGUGAGUGAUGAAGGCCUUAGGGUUGUAAAGCUCUUUCGCCCGCGACGAUGAUGACGGUAGCGGGAGAAGAGCCCCGGCUAACUUCGUGCCAGCAGCCGC
rnacentral:rRNA from 1 species